ACGGGAGCGCGGCCGGGAACAGCGGAGACGCGGGGGGGGGGGGCGGGGACGGCUGCAGAGAACCCGACCCCCCCCCGGGCAGCGGGGACUCCUCGGAGCAGAUCAUGAGGACGGGGGCGCUGCUGCUGAGGGGCUUCAUCCGGGAUCACGUGGAGCGCUGCGGGGACGCGGCCGCGCUCGCCCUGGGCCGGGCGGAGCUGGGGGCGGAGCCGGAGGCGGGGCCGGGGGCGUGGCCAGCGGCGGGGGCGGG